AGGCAUGCUGGAGGUAUCAGAAGUGCGAAUGCUGACAUAAGUAACGAUAAAGCGGGUGAAAAGCCCGCUCGCCGGAAGACCAAGGGUUCCUGUCCAACGUUAAUCGGGGCAGGGUGAGUCGACCCCUAAGGCGAGGCCGAAAGGCGUAGUCGAUGGGAAACAGGUUAAUAUUCCUGUACUUGGUGUUACUGCGAAGGGGGGACGGAGAAGGCUAUGUUGGCCGGGCGACGGUUGUCCCGGUUUAAGCGUGUAGGCUGGUUUUCCAGGCAAAUCCGGAAAAUCAAGGCUGAGGCGUGAUGACGAGGCACUACGGUGCUGAAGCAACAAAUGCCCUGCUUCCAGGAAAAGCCUCUAAGCAUCAGGUAACAUCAAAUCGUACCCCAAACCGACACAGGUGGUCAGGUAGAGAAUACCAAGGCGCUUGAGAGAACUCGGGUGAAGGAACUAGGCAAAAUGGUGCCGUAACUUCGGGAGAAGGCACGCUGAUAUGUAGGUGAAGUCCCUCGCGGAUGGAGCUGAAAUCAGUCGAAGAUACCAGCUGGCUGCAACUGUUUAUUAAAAACACAGCACUGUGCAAACACGAAAGUGGACGUAUACGGUGUGACGCCUGCCCGGUGCCGGAAGGUUAAUUGAUGGGGUCAGCGCAAGCGAAGCUCUUGAUCGAAGCCCCGGUAAACGGCGGCCGUAACUAUAACGGUCCUAAGGUAGCGAAAUUCCUUGUCGGGUAAGUUCCGACCUGCACGAAUGGCGUAAUGAUGGCCAGGCUGUCUCCACCCGAGACUCAGUGAAAUUGAACUCGCUGUGAAGAUGCAGUGUACCCGCGGCAAGACGGAAAGACCCCGUGAACCUUUACUAUAGCUUGACACUGAACAUUGAGCCUUGAUGUGUAGGAUAGGUGGGAGGCUUUGAAGUGUGGACGCCAGUCUGCAUGGAGCCGACCUUGAAAUACCACCCUUUAAUGUUUGAUGUUCUAACGUUGACCCGUGAUCCGGGUUGCGGACAGUGUCUGGUGGGUAGUUUGACUGGGGCGGUCUCCUCCUAAAGAGUAACGGAGGAGCACGAAGGUUGGCUAAUCCUGGUCGGACAUCAGGAGGUUAGUGCAAUGGCAUAAGCCAGCUUGACUGCGAGCGUGACGGCGCGAGCAGGUGCGAAAGCAGGUCAUAGUGAUCCGGUGGUUCUGAAUGGAAGGGCCAUCGCUCAACGGAUAAAAGGUACUCCGGGGAUAACAGGCUGAUACCGCCCAAGAGUUCAUAUCGACGGCGGUGUUUGGCACCUCGAUGUCGGCUCAUCACAUCCUGGGGCUGAAGUAGGUCCCAAGGGUAUGGCUGUUCGCCAUUUAAAGUGGUACGCGAGCUGGGUUUAGAACGUCGUGAGACAGUUCGGUCCCUAUCUGCCGUGGGCGCUGGAGAACUGAGGGGGGCUGCUCCUAGUACGAGAGGACCGGAGUGGACGCAUCACUGGUGUUCGGGUUGUCAUGCCAAUGGCACUGCCCGGUAGCUAAAUGCGGAAGAGAUAAGUGCUGAAAGCAUCUAAGCACGAAACUUGCCCCGAGAUGAGUUCUCCCUGACUCCUUGAGAGUCCUGAAGGAACGUUGAAGACGACGACGUUGAUAGGCCGGGUGUGUAAGCGCAGCGAUGCGUUGAGCUAACCGGUACUAAUGAACCGUGAGGCUUAACCUU
rnacentral:rRNA from 1 species